AAGGAGAGCGCAUCCUCCGCACAUUCUAGAGAAAUCUACUCACACAAAACCCUAGUUAGCAAAUCCCCUUCCCCUUUAUAAACACUCUCUACGCCCCUCCUCUCUUCAUCCAGAUCCAGAGGCUAGGGUUUCCUAUACACUUUGUUCAUCCAUGCUUGUUAUUGUGGUCAGUAGCAAGAUUUGUACUCUCUGAUCGACCUAUGAUUAUAUUACAAAUAAUAGACAAGCAUAUGUCUGAACUACUCCGUGUGGAUCAAACUAAUCUUAUCUAUGAGGUCAACUAUGAAUGUUUUUUUUUUUUUCUGCGAGUGAUUAUGUUUUUGUUAAACUUAGUCUAGCUGGUGAUAUUUUAGUAAGAUAUUAUUUUAUGAAUCUUUUAAGUUCCCUGUUUUGCAUUGUCAAUGGUGAAUGAGUCGGUGAAUAGUAAUGAAUGAUCUUUCAUUCAUGAUUAUGCAAUCACUACUGCCUUCCCUUCUUUGUCCAUUUCUUUUUCUCUAUUGUGUUUUUGAUUGAUUAUUGCGUCUGUCUUUGUUUUAAUUUUUUAAUUGUUCUUCAAUGUUUGUUAUUGUAGGCAGUAGAAAGAUUUGUACUCUUCAAUGGGCCUAUGAUUAAAUUACCAAUAAUAGACAAGCAUAUGUCUGAACUACUCCGUGUGGAUCAAACUAAUCUUCUCUAUGAGGCCAACUAUGAACAUUUGUUCUAUCAAUGGUUUAUAUAUUUUUUGAGUGGUUGUGUUUUUGUUAAGUCUAGCUGGUGAUAUUUUAGUUAUAUGUUAGUUUAUUAAGUUUUCUGUUUUGCAUUGCCAAUGAUGAAUGAAUUGGUGAAAUAGUAAUGAAUAAUCUAUCAUGAUUAUGCAAUCACUACUGCCUUCCUUCUGAGGUCUUCAUUUUUCUGUAGUUUAUUAGUUAUUUGCAUGAAUUUUGUAGUUAAUUUUUUUCAUCUGUUGUCUAAACUCUUUUCUUUGGAUUGAGUUUGUCUGUUAUAAUUAUGUUGGAAGGGUCAUAUGAUGAUCAUAAGCAUAGUUCAGAUGAUUAAUCUGUGAUUAUAUUUAGUUUUAGUCUUUCGCUCCUAUCUGAUGACCCUUCUAUUCAUUACUCUUAAAGUCUUAUUUUUUCGGCUUUAGACUAUGUUAUUACUUAGGUUAUUGUUGUUUGACUUUGUGGGACAUUUCGUCUACCCCUUUAGCAGUGCAUACGAGUGCUUUAGGGAUGAACACGUCCCUAACAUUCAAGUCAUCCAUCCCUUUCACUUUGUCAGCUUUUUUCAUUUGUUUUUUGCUGAUCAUUAUAGGAUGGAAUAUUAAUCUGUUAUGAUGAAAAUCAUGUACUGUAAAUUCCAAUUUUAAUCAUUGCAUUCUAUCCUGUUGCAAAUAUAGCUAUGUUAUGAAUUGUCUGUGUUGAUUCCAAACAAGGCUUGUUUCUCUAAACAUUCGCAGUGGCCGCCUAAGAGCUUUCGCCUUCGCCAGGCUUGAGAGCUAAUGCUGCUUUUAUCCUUCCUUGGAUGUCUGAGACCUCACAGCGAUUGCUUAAUUGUAUUUGAUGAUUGUUCUCUGGUAAUAAGUAUUAUAUGUUAUGAUUACAUGAAUGAUUUGUGGUGUGUUGAAAACCUAGUUUUUCUGCAAUUUUCUAUUGAUUCGAUGAUGACAAAUUCUAAGGCUUGUUUCUCUAAACAUUCGCAGUGGCCGCCUAAGAGCUUUCGCCUUCGCCAGGCUUGAGAGCUUGUGCUGCUUUUAUCCUUCCUUGGAUGUCUGAGGAUUUAUGUUUCUUGAUUUUAUGGAUUGUGCUCAAUUAUUUAGUAGUAUUUUUUUAGUAUUUUAUUUAUUGAAAUUGUCAUUUUCAGUGUAUAUUGUUGGUUUGUAGUAUUCUAUAUUGCUUCCGCAACUCGAUGAUGAUAAAUCCAAAGGCUUGUUUCUCUAAACAUUCGCAGUGGCCGCCCAAGAGCUUUCGCCUUCGCCAGGCUUGAGAGCUAAUGCUGCUUUUAUCCUUCCUUGGAUGUCUGAGAGUUUGAUUAUGUCUUGCAAAGUAUUUUUACUCUGUUACAGAAACAACAACAUAUUUAAAUAGUUUAUUAAAAUUAUAAAUAAAAUUUUGUUUGGAACCUAUUUAAGUGUAUUAUGCAGCAUUAAGUUAAUGACAUGAAUGUGUGAUAAUCGACAAUGAUGAUAAAUCCAAAGGCUUGUUUCUCUAAACAUUCGCAGUGGCCGCCAAAGAGUUUUCGCCUUCGCCAGGCUUGAGAACUACUGCAGCUUCUAUCCUUCCUUGGAUGUCUGAGUUCAAAUUGAUACUAACGUAGCUUUUUCUUAUUUUGUGUAUUUUGUGGAAUACUGCUAUACUUAUAUUGUAUGAUGUUUUAAUUUUGUUUUCUCUAGGUGCAAGCCGAUUACAAAUAUAAGACGUUGCUAAUGCCGUAGCUGAUCUGUUUUGUUAGAGUAGCUGAUCUGUUUUGUUAGGCCUCUAGUUUAAACCGUGGCCAUUUACGUGCCUCUUUGUAUCAUUGAUUAAGUUGGAAGAUUUAAAAGUGUAAUAGUUAGAUAACUACAAAAUUUUUUA